rnacentral:rRNA from 1 species
GUAACAUGGAUUGCUUGCAAUCUGAUGACGAGUGGCGCACGGGUGCGUAACGCGUAUGCAAUCUACCUUUUACAGGAGAAUAGCCCAGAGAAAUUUGGAAUAGUGCUCCAUAAUAUCAUUUAUCAGCAUUGGUUUAUGAUUAAAGCUCCGGCGGUAAAAGAUGAGCAUGCGUUCUAUUAGCUAGUAGGUGAGGUAACGGCUCACCUAGGCUACGAUAGAUAGGGGCCCUGAGAGGGGGAUCCCCCACACUGGUACUGAGACACGGACCAGACUCCUACGGGAGGCAGCAGUGAGGAAUAUUGGACAAUGGAGGAAACUCUGAUCCAGCCAUGCCGCGUGCAGGAUGACUGCCCUAUGGGUUGUAAACUGCUUUUAUAUAGGAAGAAACACUCCCACGUGUGGGGGCUUGACGGUACUAUAUGAAUAAGGAUCGGCUAACUCCGUGCCAGCAGCCGCGGUAAUACGGAGGAUCCAAGCGUUAUCCGGAAUCAUUGGGUUUAAAGGGUCCGCAGGCGGCCUGUUAAGUCAGAGGUGAAAUCCUACAGCUCAACUGUAGAACUGCCUUUGAUACUGAUAGGUUUGAGUUAUUGUGAAGUGGUUAGAAUGUGUGGUGUAGCGGUGAAAUGCUUAGAUAUCACACAGAAUACCCAUUGCGAAGGCAGAUCACUAACAAUAUACUGACGCUCAUGGACGAAAGCGUGGGGAGCGAACGGGAUUAGAUACCCCGGUAGUCCACGCCGUAAACGAUGGAUACUAACUGUUCGACCUUCGGGUUGAGUGGUCAAGCGAAAGUGAUAAGUAUCCCACCUGGGGAGUA